UACGUAGGGGGCAAGCGUUGUCCGGAUUUAUUGGGCGUAAAGAGCGUGUAGGCGGCCAGGCAGGUCUGCUGUGAAAACUCGAGGCUUAACCUCGAGCUGUCGGCGGAAACCAUCUGGCUAGAGUCCGGAAGAGGAGAAUGGAAUUCCCGGUGUAGCGGUGAAAUGCGCAGAUAUCGGGAAGAACACCCGUGGCGAAGGCGGUUCUCUGGGACGUUACUGACGCUGAGACGCGAAAGCGUGGGGAGCGAACAGG
rnacentral:rRNA from 1 species